UCUCAUUUCUCUUUUGCUUUAUUUACAGGUCGGUUCGAAAUUAUUAAGAGAAAAUGGCGUCGUGGAAGAGAGGCGGAGGAGCACGUGGGCGGCCGUUGGGGUUUGGACCGACGUGGCUCUUUAGUGUCUCGAAAGUCUGGAAACUGGAUUUGUUCAUGGCGUAUUGCAGAUGAGUGAAGUGGAAUAACAGCAUGUAGCACAGAAAGACGAAGCUCCACCUAUUCCUGGGGUUUGGGAAAGCAAAAGUGAAGUGGAAAUAACAGCAUGACUCUGCAGAAAGUCUAGAAGCUGGAAUGAUUCCCAGAGUGGCAGUUGAAUGAGGUGGAAUAGCUGCUAGUAGCAUAGAAAGACUGGAAGCUGGAACUAUUCCUUUGAAGUUUGGGAAAGCAAGAGUGAAAUGAAAAUACCAUGAUAGUGCAGAAAGUUUGGGGUGUCAUGUAGCUGAAGUGACAGUUAAGACCAGGGAAAAAAAUUUGUAAUGCAGAAGUCGUGUUUCUUCAGUAGUGAUAAUGCACCGUGUAGCAGCUUUGAAGAGUCGGUUAACCUCGAGUAGGCAUGUUGCCUAGCUUCUUGUUCUAUUGUUGAAAGUGUAUUUUAAAGUUGACUGAAUAUAGGUAAUAGAGGUUCUUGCUGGCAGAGGUCUUCAACACUGGUUAUGAUGCAGAAACUUAGUUGUGUAUGUACAUUAGCUUUGUAAGAAAUUCUAGCUUGAAGUAUACUACACUAUAGACAAACAAGUAGAAAGAUGUUUAAAAAAAAUUUGUAAUAAAAUCAGAUGCUAACCUUACUUUUACUUCCCUAUAAAACUAUUAAGCAAAUAUUGACUUAAUUCAUACAGCUCUAGAAAUUGGAACUAACAGUCCAUAUAUUAGAAUGUGAGAAUGCAACCUGCCAAUUAACUACAUGGAAGGACACUAAAUGUAUCUUUUGUAGUACAUGGUGUACUUGAAUAUAUUGACUAUCAUGUACACAUAUAGUAACUUUUACUGCAGCUGUACCUUGGUCUUUUUAUUUAAAAUUAAUCCUACUGUUGAGAAAUGUUGAGUAAAUGGGGUAAGUAGGGAUAAGCAAGGUGGGCAUUUGGUCAAGUGAAGGAUAUAUACAGGUUUUAUAAGUUUUAAGAGUGGGAUUCUGUAAUGUCUAAAGGCUCUCCAGAUGAGUGGCCCGAUUGCUGUUAAUGGGUACAUUUGAGGGGUAAAUUGUCAAAUUUCCUGAAUGCCUGAUGAGCAAUAUCACCAGGCAGUGCCUGGUGACUUGAGCUGUUUUAUUGUUUUUUUCCAUCAUAUGGCUAUUAUAAAAAGUACUUAUUCUCAUUCUUAAAUAUUUUCUGAAAUCUUGCUCAUGGCCAUGUAGUUCCCUUAGUAUUGUGUGGCAUCCAUAAACAUCUUUUAUUAAGCUAAUCUUUGCACCAUAUGCUACACAAAGGGGAGCCAGGAAGCCUUUGUCUAUGAGCUAGUUGAAAAAGGCAUGAUUGGUAGGCACAUGGGUGGGCACAAGUAGGCGAGAAAACAAGGAAACUACUUGUUUACCAAAUAGUUUUCCAUGUCCUCUCAGUGAUGUUACCCUUACAGUUGUCUGCUCAUCAUCUCAGUUCCUCAAAUAAAGGGGACCAAUUGCCUGAAUAAGGUAUAAUGGUAUAAGUAAAAUUUAAAAAUUCAUUAUUGGCUAUGGUAAGCCUGGAGUAUGUUGGGAAGACAUACUAUCCAUUGUUUGGUCCAUCCUUCAGUCCCCAUCAGGGGUAAUUUUUACAUUUAAAAAUGUUCUGCUGUAUCAACAUCUGAGGUCAUUAGUGGCCUAUACAAAAUGUAGUAAUAGGGUGGGACUUGGGGAAAUGAAUUUUGGGUCAUAAAGCAUUAGGAUAAAAUAUUGUCAAAAAGGGUGACAAUGAGUUAACAAUUAGGAUAAAUAGACUGAAAGAGAUGAAGAUAAGGAAAUGGAGAGGGGGGGAGAAGAAAAGACAAAGCAAAAUUGAGGGGAGGCUGAGGACCAAGGUAGGGGUCAUAACCUCCUAUUUGUUCCUCCUGAGUAUUAAUGGAACAAAUUACAAGAAUGUAUUUCAUAACGGGAUCAACCCCUACCUUGGGCCUCAGUCCUCACCAACUAAUUUUGCAUGGUCUUUUCUCCUUUCCAUUUCCUUCUUGCCUUCAUCCCUUCCCCCCCUCGCCUCCUAAUCCCUUGCUUCUUGUCGUUGGGGGGCUUAGGAGACAGGGAUUGAGGCCCAAUGUAGGGUAUCACCUCAACAUUGGUCCUCAGCCCUCGCCUCAACUACUUUUGCAUUG